AUGCAAGUCGAACGAGAAGUGGAGCAAUCCAUGAGUACAGUGGCGACCGGGUGAGUAACACGUGACCAAUCUACCCUCGAGUGGGGGAUAACUCCGGGAAACCGGAGCUAAUACCGCAUAACAUCUUCGAUACUCAGGUAUGGAAGAUCAAAGGAGCAAUUCGCUUGAGGAGGAGGUCGCGGCUGAUUAGCUAGUUGGCGGGGUAAUGGCCCACCAAGGCAAAGAUCGGUAGCCGGCCUGAGAGGGCGCACGGCCACACUGGAACUGAAACACGGUCCAGACUCCUACGGGAGGCAGCAGUGGGGAAUUUUGCGCAAUGGGGGAAACCCUGACGCAGCAACGCCGCGUGGAGGAUGAAGUCCCUUGGGACGUAAACUCCUUUCGACCCGGAAGAUACUGACGGUACGGGUGGAAGAAGCACCGGCUAACUCUGUGCCAGCAGCCGCGGUAAUACAGAGGGUGCGAGCGUUGUUCGGAAUUAUUGGGCGUAAAGGGCGCGUAGGCGGUGCGGUAAGUCACCUGUGAAAUCUCCCGGCUCAACCGGGAGCUUGCAGGCGAAACUGCCGUGCUGGAGUGUGG
rnacentral:rRNA from 1 species